GAUGUGCACCUACUCUAUGUAAAUGGUAAAUAUGAAAAUGUGUAUGUGUGUGUGUAUAUAUAUAUACACACACACAUUUUCAUAUUUACCAUUUACAUAGAGUAGGUGCACAUC
rnacentral:miRNA from 1 species